rnacentral:rRNA from 1 species
UACGUAGGGUGCGAGCGUUAAUCGGAAUACUGGGCGUAAAGCGUGCGCAGGCGGUUAUAUAAGACAGAGGUGAAAUCCCCCGGGCUCAACCUGGGAACUGCCUUUGUGACUGUAUAGCUUGAGUGCGGCAGAGGGGAAGUGGAAUUCCGGGUGUAGCGGUGAAAUGCGUAGAUAUCCGGAGGAACACCGAUGGCGAAGCAGCUUCCUGGCCCACAACGUGACGCUGAGGUGCGAAAGCGUGGGGAGCGACAGG